AACGAACGCUGGCGGCAUGCCUAACACAUGCAAGUCGAACGAGACCUUCGGGUCUAGUGGCGCACGGGUGCGUAACGCGUGGGAACCUGCCCUUAGGUUCGGAAUAACUCCCCGAAAGGGGUGCUAAUACCGGAUAAUGUCUUCGGACCAAAGAUUUAUCGCCUUUGGAUGGGCCCGCGUUGGAUUAGCUAGUUGGUAGGGUAAAAGCCUACCAAGGCGACGAUCCAUAGCUGGUCUGAGAGGAUGAUCAGCCACACUGGGACUGAGACACGGCCCAGACUCCUACGGGAGGGAGGAGUGGGGAAUAGUGGACAAUGGGCGAAAGCCUGAUGCAGCAAUGCCGCGUGAGUGAUGAAGGCCUUAGGGUUGUAAAGCUCUUUUAACCGGGAUGAUAAUGACAGUACCGGGAGAAUAAGCUCCGGCUAACUCCGUG
rnacentral:rRNA from 1 species